UUUUUAUAUCUGAGCCAUCUCGGCGCCUCUCGUAGGCGUUUCGAAAAUGAAUCAAAACUUUCAACAACGGAUCUCUUGGUUCUGGCAUCGAUGAAGAACGCAGCGAAAUGCGAUAAGUAAUGUGAAUUGCAGAAUUCAGUGAAUCAUCGAAUCUUUGAACGCACAUUGCGCCCGCCAGUAUUCUGGCGGGCAUGCCUGUCCGAGCGUCAUUUCAACCCUCGAACCCCUCCGGGGGGUCGGCGUUGGGGAUCGGCCCUUUACGGGGCCGGCCCCGAAAUACAGUGGCGGUCUCGCCGCAGCCUCUCCUGCGCAGUAGUUUGCACACUCGCAUCGGGAGCGCGGCGCGUCCAUUGCCGUAAAACACCCAACUUUCUGAAAUGUGACCUUCG
rnacentral:rRNA from 1 species